UACGAAGGGGGCUAGCGUUGUUCGGAAUUACUGGGCGUAAAGGGCUCGUAGGCGGCCAACUAAGUCGGACGUGAAAUCCCCAGGCUCAACCUGGGAACUGCGUCCGAUACUGGAUGGCUUGAAUCCGGGAGGGGGAUGCAGAAUUCCAGGUGUAGCGGUGAAAUGCGUAGAUAUCUGGAGGAAUACCGGUGGCGAAGGCGACAUCCUGGACCGGCAUUGACGCUGAGGAGCGAAAGCCAGGGGAGCAAACGGG
rnacentral:rRNA from 1 species